AUGGCGCCCGAAGCCCUGCUCCCAGUCACCCUCGCCGCCACACGCAGAGAGGAGCAGAGCCCCGCGCGCCGUCCUCUGCCGAUGGCGUGCCCGCGAGUUCCUGACCCUGCCACAGCCACCUCUCCUCGCCAUGUACCCCGCCACCGCCGGAGCUGCUCCGCUCGCCCCGCGCUGGAGCCGUCGUUCCCGCACAGCCACCGUGCCCGCGCCAUCGACCUCCCUGGCCUCGGAUCCGGCUGGUUCCUGCCGACCCAGUCGCCGCCCCGUGGCCCUCGUCUUCAUCUUCGGCGGAUUUCGCGCCACUGCAAGCCCCUGCCCCGCCUCUGCUUCAUUCGAGCGGGGUGGAGGACGCGUCUCUGCUCGCCCGCGUCAUCCUCCUGCGCCUGCGCCGACGACCUCCACCUCCAGCCGUUGCCGGCGAGCAAGCCUCGCUGGAGGACGUCGUCCUCGCCCGGAUCCUCGUCGCCAGCCCCAAGCCUUGCCGCUGCCUGCGUCCGUCCACCACUUGCAGCUGCUGGGGCAGGACCUCCUCGUCGUGGCUCUGCCUCCACUAGCAGCCUCCUGCUGCCUGUCAUCUCCAUGGCCUUGAGCAGCCCAAGCCGCCGGGCGUUCUGGCCCUUGCACAUCGCUGUUGACCCGAGGAGACCACCGCCAGUCCAAGGACUAUCCCUGAAGAUUUUGGAUGCGCCAAGUUCCACGACGCCGCAUAAGUUUCUUCUUGAACGUGUACGGCUACGCAGAUUUGCCAAGUACCACGACAUCCGGAGCCCCGGAUACGCCAAGUACCUUCUACGACCCGUGUACGACUACGUGAUUUCACCAAGUACCCCUCGGAUGCGCCAAGUUCGACUACAUGGACCACCAAGUUCCUCUACCGAUGACUCAAACGACUACGAAACGUGUACCACUACCAUCGACCCGCGAAGACCCCGUGGACGUCAAGUUCCUUGUCGUGACCCCGAGCAUCUCUGGAACAUGAACGACUACUUCCUCUCCGACUUGUGUACCACUACUCCCACUACGAACCCGAUCCGCUCCGAAAAUGCACGCUUCGAAGCUUCGGUUUCGUUCCGGAGUUGUGAGGAUUCGUUCGACUACAUCCGUUUGUCUUCUUCAUGGACUCGUUCUUCUUCCUUGCGGGAUCUCAGUUGCAGGUGCCGACGAUGCCAGUGCAGGUGA
rnacentral:rRNA from 1 species